AUUGAACGCUGGCGGCAGGCUUAACACAUGCAAGUCGAGCGGGGAAGAGUAGCUUGCUACUUGACCUAGCGGCGGACGGAUGAGUAAUGCUUAGGAAUCUGCCUAUUAGUGGGGGACAACAUCUCGAAAGGGAUGCUAAUACCGCAUACGUCCUACGGGAGAAAGCAGGGGACCUUCGGGCCUUGCGCUAAUAGAUGAGCCUAAGUCGGAUUAGCUAGUUGGUGGGGUAAAGGCCUACCAAGGCGACGAUCUGUAGCGGGUCUGAGAGGAUGAUCCGCCACACUGGGACUGAGACACGGCCCAGACUCCUACGGGAGGCAGCAGUGGGGAAUAUUGGACAAUGGGGGGAACCCUGAUCCAGCCAUGCCGCGUGUGUGAAGAAGGCCUUUUGGUUGUAAAGCACUUUAAGCGAGGAGGAGGCUACCGAGAUUAAUACUCUUGGAUAGUGGACGUUACUCGCAGAAUAAGCACCGGCUAACUCUGUG
rnacentral:rRNA from 1 species